CAGCAGCCGCGGUAAUACGUAGGUGGCAAGCGUUGUCCGGAAUUAUUGGGCGUAAAGGGCUCGCAGGCGGUUUCCUAAGUCUGAUGUGAAAGCCCCCGGCUCAACCGGGGAGGGUCAUUGGAAACUGGGAAACUUGAGUGCAGAAGAGGAGAGUGGAAUUCCACGUGUAGCGGUGAAAUGCGUAGAGAUGUGGAGGAACACCAGUGGCGAAGGCGACUCUCUGGUCUGUAACUGACGCUGAGGUGCGAAAGCGUGGGGAGCGAACAGGAUUAGAGACCCGCGUAGUCCCUGUCUCUUAUAA
rnacentral:rRNA from 1 species